CCCCCAGGGAGAAAGCUACAUGCAAGAGAAACAGUGAGAAACAUCAAAGCCUCUUCCGAUCCUUCUCAGCCUCCUGCCCCCACUAUCCCUGAGCUCUCAAUCGCAGCAGGCCCGAGAAGGAAAGUGACCAGGGCAGCAACUGGAGCCUGGGCUGAACAAGUUAAGGGGAUUUUCUGCCCACCUUCCAGGUUGUCCUCCAGCCAAAGGUCUGUCCAUUUGCUGAGAACUGAUAAAACUUCUGCCUCAGGGUUCUUCUUCCUCCAGCUCUCUUGA
rnacentral:lncRNA from 1 species